ACAGUUGAUGUCUUUGCCUACUCAUCAGUGCAGACAGAGGGCCGGGCUACACCAUGCAUUGACUUGACUAGAAUCGUUUGUAAAACGAAACAGAACGUACUUCAGUAAGCCCAACAUUUCUCACGAAGCAACUAUUUUCUUCCGCUGACGGCGGAGUGGCUUCUCGGCGCAGCAGGAUCGAACUUGAUACCGCGUGGACAUUUAACCGACUUUUUAGUUCUGCUUGGCAUUAAUUCUUUAUCCGCAAUGAGCACAAGUGGAAGAUGAUUACCGUGAGUGAAACCUACAAGCACUUGAGACCUGAGGGGUUUACUAGUGGAUCUUGCAUGAGAUCCGACUUCAACUCGAUUUUAUCUGUUGGCCAUAGAGGAAAUUAUAAACAACCUCAUUCAUGCUUUGAUGGAGAGAUUUUCUGGCGUUCUCUCAGGAAACCUAUAACUUCCAGAUACCUUGGAAAUAACGCUAUUGUUUACUGAAGUUUACAGCAAUGUACCUGCACAGGUUGUUGCACGCAGCUAAUGGGGAUUUAAACAUUUCCACCGCUCAACAACAGCAGGUGCUAGCAAUAAAGGGAAAUACCCAACCCUAAUCUCAAGCCGUUAAACAAGCGGAAAAAUAUUUUAGCCUAAUGUUUUCAUGCCUGCCUUGGUAGGAUAUGCAUGUAUGUAUUUUAUUCAAAGUGAGCUAGUGUAUUCAUACCUGCUGUGGUAUUAAGUAUAAUGAUUUCAUGCCUGAAUGCCUGUAGAGUUUCAUUUCAUGUCCGCCGUAUUUCAAGAUAUAGCCCUAAAGUGUUUGUAUUGUGUGUGGCUGUUUUCAUAUGGCAAAAAAAAAAGCACUUUUGGGCUUAAUGAAAACACUUCCAGGGCUUUCUAUUCUUCCUUGCUGAAUCCACUUGUGCCUGUACUAUAGAUCGUUUCUUUGAAUGGGAGUGGUCGAUCUGAUCUCUGAUAUGUUGAUUAUUUCAUCGCAUUCGACUGUCAGACUGAACAAACAUAAAGAUAUCCGUAUUUUGUGACCGUAUACUUUGUUCCAUUUUAUCACUGAAUUUGUCUGCUGCUAUAUAAUCUCUCUCUCUGAAUAUGUAGGUGAUAGACAUGUUGUGUAUUUUGUUAUGUUUUUUUUACUGUCGGACUCGGUCAGUUGGGCUGUUUUGUCAGUGGUGGUUAUGUUAGCGGUUGCUUACUUGCGCUCCCUACUUGGCAAUAAUAACGGGCUUGUUUGUCAAGGGAAAUGUGUGGUGUUUUAGGUCGUAUUUAUCCUGUGUUAUGUGUUAAAUUAUGCAAUGUGAUAUGUCGGGGUAUAUUUGCUGUAUUUUUUUUCUGGAAAAUGUUACUUAUGUCCAGCCACACAGCAAUUUGUGUCUAUGCCACUGUGCUAAAGUGGCUAAAUUCAGAAUGUUUACAUGUCCCUCUGUCAAGAUUUCAACUCACUCUUUCUAAACAUUUCUCCAAGUUUCACCAUCAGCCCUAGUUAUUUAGUUGCUUUGACCAUGUCAUUUCUGACGGAUAUUAUUUAUUUAAUGUGAUUAGUUAUUAAUUUAUGUCUGUACCUCAUUUUAAGGUCAACCCUGUUAUGUGAACUCUCGUUUUAAUAUGGUGAAACUUCCUUUAAAUAAUUUUUUUCAAAAGCAACAUUGAACAUCUAAUAGUCAUCAUAGUGUAAAAGCUGUUUCUACUCAUUUUGGCAUUUUUCUGGUGUUUUGUGCUAGAAAACUGAGCGGGUCGAGCAUAAAGUCAACCGGGGUACGUGUAACAGUAUAACUUUACCGCCCAUACCCGGGCGCGAACCAGGGACCCUCUGCACACAUCAACAACAGUCACCCACGAAGCAUCGUUACCCAUCGCUCCAGGUUUUAAUAGUUGCCGUGGGUACAACAUCACCGAUGCACUUGCUAAUAAACUCGCUCACCGAAUCAGAAUUUACAUCAAUGUUGUUGUUAUCCGGAACAUAUCCCAGUCCACGUGAUCAUAGCAAUCUUGAAGCGUGGAAUCACACUGGUCGGACCAGCAUUGAACGGACCUGGGCACGGGUGUUUCCUGUUUUAGUUUGUCUGUUUCUGUCAGCCCGGUUCACGCAUUCGAUAUCUUGAUGACAUUUAGGGAGCCUUGUUUUCUGAUUAGCUUUGUUAAAAUCCCCAGCUACAAUAAAUGCAGCCUUGGGAUAUGUGGUUUACAGUUUGUCUCUCUGGAAGGCAACCCUUGCUCGGAUUUCGUCUACCUUGUUGUCAAGAGACUGGACAUUGGCAAUUAGGGUACUCGAGAGCAGUGGGCGAUGUGCCCGUCUACGGAGCCUGACCAGAAGACCGCUCCAUCUGCCCCUUCUGCGGCACCAUUGUUUUGGGUUGCCUGCUAGGAUCCGAUCCAUUGUCCUGGGUGGUGGACCAAACAGAGGAUCCACUUCGGGAAAGUCGUAUUCCUGGUCAUAAUGUUGAAAGCUGACCUGGCUGUAGAGGGACACACCAUCUCAGAGAGAGAGAGAAGGUCAUUGACUUCUCCAAACCCUUCAUAACCCUGGGCAUCAGCAUCAUGUACACAGCAUGAUGUGGUGAGACACAAGCACGCAGGCAUGCAUAGAGAACUGGUCAAACAUUGGUCACCGACUUUAGUCCAUGAGUAGAUUGGAUGAAGAGCUUAGGUCAGUUUUACAUUCUUCUCCAUAAUGUCAACGGUUUAGGAUUGGGGAUGCCAAGCUGAUCCUAGAUAUGUGCAUAUGGGCAAUUUCUCCACUGUUAUCUGUCUAGUGAGUCAAUGAAAGAUGCCAAAUAUGACUGCACAGUUCUUUGGUGAAACCAGACAACACAAUAUGUUUAUUAUAGAUAUUCAUUUUCAACCAUCUUGGAAAUUUAAGAAAUCUAAACUUCAUUGAUAUACUGUAGUUGAUCAAGGUAAUUGAGUGUCUUUGAUAGAGGUUAGGCACUCAAACCUGGUGAGUGUACCCAAAUCCAUUGUUUCUUAUCAACCAUAUCAAUGCGUGAAUAGCACUUUCCUGGAAACUAUUGAAUCUCCAUGGUAAUUCUUUAUAGCCUGGUGGAUCCAGAAUGAACACAAUUUUUUUCACUCCGCUUAUCAGUCUGUCUUCAAUCCAAUAGAUGGGCGAAGUGAUUUAAACAUUUUUUAAGGAGGUAGAGUCCAGGCUAAAUGAUUUAUGCUCUGGCUUCUUUAGACCCGUCGACCAGGCUACUGGUCCUUCUUAGACCCCUUCUCUCCAGGCCUAUGGCUCUGCAUGCUGCUGGCCUACCUGAUCGUCAGCUGUGUGCUCUUCCUAGUGGCCAGGUAAAUGUGCAGAUUGACACAGUCACCUACUGGCGGUGCUGUGGACUGUAACAGGUAUUCUAUUCUGAAGCUGCGGUCUAAUUUCCACUCUUAUCAUUUUUGGGGUGACCUGUUUGGUAGGCACAAACUGGAGGAAAUGAUUUUGAAAACUUCAUAUUAAAAGGAGCAUACUUAUUGGUUAAGAUCAGAUUGUAGCUUUCCUCCCCCGUUUUCAAAUAUUUGACUUCUGUUGUGUUCCUAUUCAACACAACCCUAGCUGUAUGCUUUAAUUUUCCCUAUAAUGAGCACCCGGUUUUAUUCUCCUGGCUGUAUGAGUGGUUCAGUACUGAGCCAUGCCUGCGGGGGCGCUCUAAGCUGGUUCUGAACCAGUACACUCUGGGGAACAGUCUGUGGUCCCCUGUAGGGGGGGUUCAAGCAGCCAUGCCCUGUCCACACGCUGCCUCAGCGCUGUCUGAUGAGUAAGACUACACAACAAUCCCCUAUAUAGGGACUGCAUUGACCCAUAGGCACGCAUGCACACAUACGUUGGCCAUUUUCCAACACAAAGAUAACCAUUGGCCAUUAAUUAACUCACUCUAACAUUGAGACACACACGGGUAUUGAUGCACUCCAUGCUUACCACGCUGUAUGAACCAAUUUGACUGUCUCAGGAUAAACAGGAUUCACACCUCAAUAUUCAAAUGGGGCUUGUGCUUAACGGGGAGCCUUUCUGUGUACUAAGAACAGCUGUGCUGUUCCUUCCUGCUGCAGGUGGUUUUUCACACUGAUCAUAGUGUCCUCCUACACGGCCAACCUGGCCACCUUCCUCACUGUCCAGAGGAUGGAGGCUCUUAUUGAGUCAGCGCACGACCUGGCAGACCAGCUCAACAUAGUAUGGCAUCAUGCAGAACUCGCGGUACCAAACCUACCAGCGCAUGUGGAACUUCAUUCACACCAAGUAACCCAGUGUGUUUGUGAAGAGCACGGAGGAAGGCUUCGACCAGGUGCUCAACUCCAACUACGCCUACCUGCUGGAGAGCACCAUGAAUGAGUACGACCGCCAGCACAACUGUAACCUCACCCAGAUAGGAGGCCUGCUGGACACCAAGGGCUACGGCAUUGGCAUGCCACAAGCUCUCCUUGUGUACAGAGACGCUGAGGGCUCUCCAUGGGAUCCAGCUGUGCGAGGACAGUAUGGCACUGUGUGGUUUACGAGGCCCAGGGACAUUACUACAGACACUUCCAGAGGAGCGCAGGCCCGGGACAGCCACUUGCACCCUCAGUAACGGCAUGUGUGGGAUGGGCAACAGGUGCAACCACCACUACCCAGAGAACACUCACCAGAUCUCAGAGAGGAUAAUGUGUAGGUAGGGUGGUCAGAGACCUCGGUGGAUCUUUGUGAACCAUCCCCGAGCAGUGACCGUGGGCCACUUGUCUGAGUUCAUUAGAUGAGACAUCAGGUCUGACAUACCUGUGUUUCAUCCUCAGCCUUGGGUUCAGGGGUUACUACCCGCUCUGAAACAAAGCAUUUGCCCUGUGGAGGAUAAAGUGUACCAGUACUGCAGUACUUCAAAGUCCCAGCUCCAACUGGCGGCUAAUCCCGCUUUUACAUUGCACUACAUCUGUGAGAGAAACAGGAGUGUGGCUGUAGUCCAGUUCAUUAUUUUAUUUGGAAACAUUUAAGUGGCAAAAACAUUGGUCGGGAUUCAAUCCGAAGCGUGCUAUAGAGAGCUUCACAUUUAAGGCGAUUUCCAAUUGAGCCGACAUCUUCAGCAUUUACGCGAACGCGGUAACAUUGCCUAUGAGCGCGAUCGGAUUGAAUCCCUGCCAUUCUUGUACAAUGGAGUACACAAGAUGCUAGCAUGGACCUUACUUUGAAAAUGUCAUCGACCUUUGUGGAUCAUUUCUGGUUCAGGUUGUCAUUGAACGUCAAAAUAGAAGGUUCCCCAUGUUAUAGAUGGGUCAGCUGACAACGUCAUGAAAACAAUGCUCACACUUCAGUGGGACCAGGGUUGCCAGGUCAGGAAAAAACUUGUAGCCGUUAGACCACUCAAAACCUGACCAACUUAUUUUCACAGCGAGAGAAAUGUUGCCAUAUUAACCCCUUUUUCCAAUAACGUUAUCAAGCCAAUUGAGGAAUCAUAACUUGUAACAGCGUUAGUCAAUUCAGGUUUCUUCAAAAUAAUAAUUGCAAGCUAAUGAAUAUGAAUGUGACAAGAGAAAAGGGUAAUUGGCCAUAUACCACAAACGCCCGGGGUGCCUUAUUGCUAUUAUAAACUGGUUACCAACGUAAUUAGAACAGUAAAAAGUUGUCAUACCCAUGGUAUAUGGUCUGAUAUACCACAGCUUUCAGCCAUUCAGCACAGAGCUUGAACCAGGUGUAUAAUUGUAAAUAAAUACCCUUUGCACAUGUU